GAUGAACGCUGGCGGCGUGCCUAAUACAUGCAAGUCGAGCGAACGGACGAGAAGCUUGCUUUUCUGAUGUUAGCGGCGGACGGGUGAGUAACACGUGGAUAACCUACCUAUAAGACUGGGAUAACUUCGGGAAACCGGAGCUAAUACCGGAUAAUAUUUUGAACCGCAUGGUUCAAAAGUGAAAGACGGUCUUGCUGUCACUUAUAGAUGGAUCCGCGCUGCAUUAGCUAGUUGGUAAGGUAACGGCUUACCAAGGCAACGAUGCAUAGCCGACCUGAGAGGGUGAUCGGCCACACUGGAACUGAGACACGGUCCAGACUCCUACGGGAGGCAGCAGUAGGGAAUCUUCCGCAAUGGGCGAAAGCCUGACGGAGCAACGCCGCGUGAGUGAUGAAGGUCUUCGGAUCGUAAAACUCCGUUAUUAGGGAAGAACAUAUGUGUAAGUAACUGUGCACAUCGUGACGGUACCUAAUCAGAAGGCCACGGCUAACUACG
rnacentral:rRNA from 1 species